AGUGAACGCUGGCGGUAGGCCUAACACAUGCAAGUCGAACGGCAGCACAGUAAGAGCUUGCUCUUACGGGUGGCGAGUGGCGGACGGGUGAGGAAUACAUCGGAAUCUACUUUUUCGUGGGGGAUAACGUAGGGAAACUUACGCUAAUACCGCAUACGACCUACGGGUGAAAGCAGGGGAUCUUCGGACCUUGCGCGAUUGAAUGAGCCGAUGUCGGGUUAGCUAGUUGGCGGGGUAAAGGCCCACCAAGGCGACGAUCCGUAGCUGGUCUGAGAGGAUGAUCAGCCACACUGGAACUGAGACACGGUCCAGACUCCUACGGGAGGCAGCAGUGGGGAAUAUUGGACAAUGGGCGCAAGCCUGAUCCAGCCAUACCGCGUGGGUGAAGAAGGCCUUCGGGUUGUAAAGCCCUUUUGUUGGGAAAGAAAAGCAGCAGGUUAAGACCCCGCUGUUCGGACGGUACCCAAAGAAUAAGCACCGGCGAACUUCGG
rnacentral:rRNA from 1 species